rnacentral:lncRNA from 1 species
UGUAAUCCUCACCUUCUAUUUCCAGAGUGCUGGGAUUACAGGUGUGUGCCACUAUGCCUGGGAAAUCAAUUCAGGAUUUUUGAUGCAUGCUGGGCAAGCAUUCUACCAACUGAGCUUAAAGACUCUUUAAAGUGAUUGGAGUUGUGCUUCAUACAUUUCAGCAGUUCAGCAAUGUUUUAUCUGCCAACUAAGCUUUUCACUUGAGUGCGCCAUGGAAACACUACUAAUGAGACUUGUUGAGCACAAAAGUGGACUCGAAGAGCCAGAAGCCACUGUUUUCAAAUGAAGGAUUCCAAACAGUUUUAAGCCUCAGUGCGUUUAAAUCAACACUGA